AGUGAACGCUGGCGGUAUGCCUAACACAUGCAAGUCGAACGGCAGCACAGUAAGAGCUUGCUCUUACGGGUGGCGAGUGGCGGACGGGUGAGGAAUACAUCGGAAUCUACUUUUUCGGGGGGGAUAACGUAGGGAAACUUACGCUAAUACCGCAUACGACCUACGGGUGAAAGCAGGGGAUCUUCGGACCUUGCGCGAUUGAAUGAGCCGAGGUCGGAUUAGCUAGUUGGCGGGGUAAAGGCCCACCAAGGCGACGAUCCGUAGCUGGUCCGAGAGGAUGAUCAGCCCCACUGGAACUGAGACACGGUCCAGACUCCUACGGGAGGCAGCAGUGGGGAAUAUUGGACACUGGGCGCAAGCCUGCUCCAGCCAUACCGCGUGGGUGAAGAAGGCCUUCGGGUUGUAAAGCCCUUUUGUUGGGAAAGAAAAGCAGCAGGUUAAGACCCCGCUGUUCUGACGGUACCCAAAGAAUAAGCACCGGCUAACUUCGUG
rnacentral:rRNA from 1 species